GUUGGGUACAGUGACACAUGCCUGUAAUCCCAGUGGCUUGGGAGGCUGAGACAGGAGGAUCUCAAGUUUGAGGGCAGCCUCAGCAACUUAGUGAGGCCCUAAGCAACAUAGCGAGACCAUGCCUCAC
rnacentral:sRNA from 1 species